GUGGGGAAUAUUGCACAAUGGGCGCAAGCCUGAUGCAGCCAUGCCGCGUGUAUGAAGAAGGCCUUCGGGUUGUAAAGUACUUUCAGCGGGGAGGAAGGUGUUGUGGUUAAUAACCGCAGCAAUUGACGUUACCCGCAGAAGAAGCACCGGCUAACUCCGUGCCAGCAGCCGCGGUAAUACGGAGGGUGCAAGCGUUAAUCGGAAUUACUGGGCGUAAAGCGCACGCAGGCGGUCUGUCAAGUCGGAUGUGAAAUCCCCGGGCUCAACCUGGGAACUGCAUUCGAAACUGGCAGGCUAGAGUCUUGUAGAGGGGGGUAGAAUUCCAGGUGUAGCGGUGAAAUGCGUAGAGAUCUGGAGGAAUACCGGUGGCGAAGGCGGCCCCCUGGACAAAGACUGACGCUCAGGUGCGAAAGCGUGGGGAGCAAACAGGAUUAGAAACCCGGGUAGUCC
rnacentral:rRNA from 1 species